rnacentral:rRNA from 1 species
GGGGGGGGGGGGGGGCGGGCCGGGGAGGGGCAGGGCGGGCGGGGGGGGGGGAGGCGGGCUGUUCUGGGGUUAGCGGCGGACGGGUGGGGAGCACGUGGGGAACCUACCGAUACGACGGGGAGAACUGCGGGACACCGGAGCUAAUACCGGAUAAUAUUUGGCAGCGCAUGGUUCCCAAGUGAAAGAAGGACUUGCUGUCACUGAUGUAUGGAUCCUCUCUGCAUUAACUAGUGGGUAAGGUAACGGCUUACCAAGGCAACGAUGCAUAGCCGACCUGAAAGGGUGGUCGGCCACACUGGAACUGAGACACGGUCCAGACUCCUACGGGAGGCAGCAGUAGGGAAUCCUCCGCAAUGGGCGAAAGCCUGACGGAGCAACGCCGCGUGAGUGAUGAAGGUCUUCGGAUCGUAAAACUCUGUUAUUAGGGAAGAACAUAUGUGUAAGUAACUGUGCACAUCUUGACGGUACCUAAUCAGAAAGCCACGGCUAACUACGUG